GACGAACGCUGGCGGCGUGCUUAACACAUGCAAGUCGAGCGGUAAGGCCCUUUCGGGGGUACACGAGCGGCGAACGGGUGAGUAACACGUGGGUGACCUGCCCUUAGCUCUGGGAUAAGCCUGGGAAACUGGGUCUAAUACCGGAUAUGACUCCAUGACGCAUGUUGUGGGGUGGAAAGCCUUGUGCGGCUAGGGAUGGGCCCGCGGCCUAUCAGCUUGUUGGUGGGGGUGAUGGCCUACCAAGGCGACGACGGGUAGCCGGCCUGAGAGGGCGACCGGCCACACUGGGACUGAGACACGGCCCAGACUCCUACGGGAGGCAGCAGUGGGGAAUCUUGCGCAAUGGGCGAAAGCCUGACGCAGCGACGCCGCGUGAGGGAUGACGGCCUCGGUUGUAAC
rnacentral:rRNA from 1 species